rnacentral:rRNA from 1 species
GAUGAACGCUAGCGGCAGGCUUAACACAUGCAAGUCGAGGGGUAGAGGAAGCUUGCUUCCUUGAGACCGGCGCACGGGUGCGUAACGCGUAUGCAACCUACCUUUUACAGAGGGAUAGCCCAGAGAAAUUUGGAUUAAUACCUCAUGGUAUAUAUCAUUCGCAUGUUUGAUAUAUUAAAGUUCCAACGGUAAAGGAUGGGCAUGCGUCCUAUUAGCUAGAUGGUAAGGUAACGGCUUACCAUGGCAACGAUAGGUAGGGGUCCUGGGAGGGAGAUCCCCCACACUGGUACUGAGAGACGGACCAGACUCCUACGGGAGGCAGCAGUGAGGAAUAUUGGACAAUGGGCGCAAGCCUGAUCCAGCCAUGCCGCGUGCAGGAAGAAGCAUCUAUGGUGUGUAAACUGCUUUUGUACGGGAAGAAACACUCCUUCGUGAAGGAGCUUGACGGUACCGUAAGAAUAAGGAUCGGCUAACUCCGUGCCAGCCGCCGCGGUAAGAC